GCCCACGUGGCGAAAUUGGUAAACGUUGCGGUCUCAGAAGCCGUUGGAGUCUAUCCUUGGGAGUUCGAGUCUCCCCGUGGGCA
rnacentral:tRNA from 1 species